GCCAGCAGCCGCGGUAAUACGGAGGGGGUUAGCGUUGUUCGGAAUUACUGGGCGUAAAGCGCACGUAGGCGGAUCAGAAAGUUAGAGGUGAAAUCCCAGGGCUCAACCCUGGAACUGCCUUUAAAACUCCUGGUCUUGAGUUCGAGAGAGGUGAGUGGAAUUCCGAGUGUAGAGGUGAAAUUCGUAGAUAUUCGGAGGAACACCAGUGGCGAAGGCGGCUCACUGGCUCGAUACUGACGCUGAGGUGCGAAAGUGUGGGGAGCAAACAGGAUUAGAUACCCUGGUAGUCCACACCGUAAACGAUGAAUGCCAGACGUCAGCAAGCAUGCUUGUUGGUGUCACACCUAACGGAUUAAGCAUUCCGCCUGGGGAGUACGGUCGCAAGAUUAAAACUCAAAGGAAUUGACGGGGGCC
rnacentral:rRNA from 1 species